rnacentral:rRNA from 1 species
AGGGUUUUAUCCUGGCUCAGGAUGAACGCUAGCGACAGGCCUAACACAUGCAAGUCGAGGGGUAACAGAUGAAGAGCUUGCUCUGAUUGCUGACGACCGGCGCACGGGUGAGUAACAAGUAUGCAACCUACCUUUUACAGAGGGAUAGCCCAGAGAAAUUUGGAUUAAUACCUCAUAAUAUUUUUAACUCGCAUGAGUUUUAAAUUAAAACUUCGGUGGUAAAAGAUGGGCAUGCUUUCUAUUAGUUUGUUGGUGAGGUAACGGCUCACCAAGACUAUGAUAGAUAGGGGGUCUGAGAGGAUAGUCCCCCACACUGGUACUGAGACACGGACCAGACUCCUACGGGAGGCAGCAGUGAGGAAUAUUGGUCAAUGGUCGAAAGACUGAACCAGCCAUGUCGCGUGAAGGAUGACGGCCCUAUGGGUUGUAAACUUCUUUUGUAUGGGAAGAAAAGCAGUUACGUGUAACUGUCUGCCGGUACCAUACGAAUAAGGAUCGGCUAACUCCGUGCCAGCAGCCGCGGUAAUACGGAGGAUCCAAGCGUUAUCCGGAUUUAUUGGGUUUAAAGGGUGCGUAGGCGGCUCUAUAAGUCAGUAGUGAAAUCUCGAAGCUCAACUUCGAACGUGCUAUUGAAACUGUAGAGCUUGAGUACAGACGAGGCAGGCGGAAUGUGUUGUGUAGCG